GACGAACGCUGGCGGCGUGCUUAACACAUGCAAGUCGAACGGAAAGGCCCUGCUUUUGUGGGGUGCUCGAGUGGCGAACGGGUGAGUAACACGUGAGUAACCUGCCCUUGACUUUGGGAUAACUUCAGGAAACUGGGGCUAAUACCGGAUAGGAGCUCCUGCUGCAUGGUGGGGGUUGGAAAGUUUCGGCGGUUGGGGAUGGACUCGCGGCUUAUCAGCUUGUUGGUGGGGUAGUGGCUUACCAAGGCUUUGACGGGUAGCCGGCCUGAGAGGGUGACCGGCCACAUUGGGACUGAGAUACGGCCCAGACUCCUACGGGAGGCAGCAGUGGGGAAUAUUGCACAGUGGGCGGAAGCCUGAUGCAGCAACGCCGCGUGCGGGAUGACGGCCUUCGGGUUGUAACCCGCUUUCGCCUGUGACGAAGCGUGAGUGACGGUAAUGGGUAAAGAAGCACCGGCUAACUACGUG
rnacentral:rRNA from 1 species